rnacentral:rRNA from 1 species
CCUACGGGAGGCAGCAGUAGGGAAUAUUGGACAAUGGGGGAAACCCUGAUCCAGCCAUGCCGCGUGAGUGAUGAAGGCCUUCGGGUUGUAAAGCUCUUUUAGCAGGGAAGCUGUACCUGCAGAAUAAGCCCCGGCUAACUUCGUGCCAGCAGCCGCGGUAAUACGAAGGGGGCAAGCGUUGUUCGGAGUUACUGGGCGUAAAGGGCGCGUAGGCGGCGAUCCAAGUCAGAUGUGAAAGCCCUGGGCUUAACCCGGGAAUUGCAUUUGAUACUGGGUUGCUAGAAUCCGGGAGAGGUUGGUGGAAUUCCCAGUGUAGAGGUGAAAUUCGUAGAGAUUGGGAAGAACACCGGAGGCGAAGGCGGCCAACUGGUCCGGAUUGACGCUGAGGCGCGAAAGCGUGGGGAGCAAACAGGAUUAGAUACCCUUGUAGUC